GACGAACGCUGGCGGCGUGCUUAACACAUGCAAGUCGAGCGGUAAGGCCUUUCGGGGUCCCCGAGCGGCGAACGGGUGAGUAACACGUGGGUGAUCUGCCCUGCACUUCGGGAUAAGCCUGGGAAACUGGGUCUAAUACCGGAUAUGACCUCCUAUCGCAUGGUGGGUGGUGGAAAGAUUUAUCGGUGCAGGAUGGGCCCGCGGCCUAUCAGCUUGUUGGUGGGGUAAUGGCCUACCAAGGCGACGACGGGUAGCCGACCUGAGAGGGUGACCGGCCACACUGGGGCUGAGACACGGCCCAGACUCCUACGGGAGGCAGCAGUGGGGAAUAUUGCACAAUGGGCGAAAGCCUGAUGCAGCGACGCCGCGUGAGGGAUGACGGCCUUCGGGUUGUAAACCUCUUUCAGCAGGGACGAAGCGCAAGUGACGGUACCUGCAGAAGAAGCACCGGCUAACUACGUG
rnacentral:rRNA from 1 species